rnacentral:ncRNA from 2 species
AGAGCACACGUCCAGCCAGAGUUCCUGUGCUCUAGGCGAGCAGACUCAGGAGGACUGCCGGA